rnacentral:tRNA from 1 species
UAUCUAGUUAGUUUAUAUAUAAAAUAUUAAAUUGUGGAUUUAAUGAGGAAUUAUCACUGGAUAA